CUGGAAGGGGUGGAGCCAGGCUGCACCCCUCCUAGACCCCAUUUAAGGGCUGACUCCCAAGGAGGAAGGUUCUCUACCUGGAGAUUACUUCUCUUGGAGCCCUUCUGUGAGCCCAGGAUACAGGUUGCAAUUCGUCUUAUUGCGGAUAGACGUUGGAAAGUAGGUCAUAUUAACCCAAAUGUGGACAAAUGGAUCCUACCCUAAGUGACAACUUCUGUCGUGUGCAAUUCGCCCCUUCCUGUCACAAACAGAGUAAGUCUGAGCAUUCAGCACAACGUUAUUCUGUAGGAUUUGUUUGAUUUCUCUUUUUUUUUUCCUUUGGCUGUCACUGGCUGGGCAUUGGCACAGGCUGCACAGGGAGGUGGUGGGGUCACCGUCCCUGGAGGUGUUCCAAAUCCAUGGAGGUGGCACUUAGGGACAUGGUUAGUGGGCAUGAUGG
ensembl:lncRNA